UGAGGAAUAUUGGGCAAUGCCCGCAAGGGUGACCCAGCAACGCCGCGUGGAGGAUGAAUGUCGUAAGAUUGUAAACUCCUGUUAGAGGGGAAGAAUAGUACCGGUUGGACCGGUAUAUGACUGUACCCUCAGAGAAAGCCCCGGCUAACUACGUGCCAGCAGCCGCGGUAAUACGUAGGGGGCAAGCGUUGUCCGGAUUUACUGGGUGUAAAGGGCGCGCAGGCGGGAUAAAAAGUCAGUGGUGAAAUCCUACAGCUUAACUGUAGAACUGCCUUUGAUACUUUUAUUCUUGAGUUCGGGAGAGAGAGACGGAAUUCCAGGUGUAGUGGUGAAAUACGUAGAUAUCUGGAAGAACACCAGUUGCGAAGGCGGUCUUUUGGUCCGACACUGACGCCGAGGCGCGAAAGCGUGGGGAGCAAACA
rnacentral:rRNA from 1 species